rnacentral:rRNA from 1 species
CACGUAGGGGGGCAAGCGUUGUCCGGAAUUAUUGGGCGUAAAGAGCUCGUAGGCGGCUCGGUAAGUCAGGUGUCAAAUCCUCAGGCUCAACCUGGGGCUCCACCUGAUACUGCUGUGGCUAGAGUCCGGUAGGGGAGCGUGGAAUUCCUGGUGUAGCGGUGAAAUGCGCAGAUAUCAGGAGGAACACCAGCGGUGAAGGCGGCGCUCUGGGCCGGAACUGACGCUGAGGAGCGAAAGCGUGGGUAGCAAACAGG